CAAAGCUGACUUUUAGCUUUUUCUACAAAAUGUGGCACUUUUCAUCACUAAACAAAGCUACAGUAGAAAAUGCUGUAAUGUAUUAAGUCACAGAAUGCAAUCUGAGGCACAGCUUCUUUCUUCAGACAUUCAGAUCUGGAGGAAUUCCUCAAGAAAGAAAAACAUCAAACACAUUCUUUAUAAUCUUCACACAGAUUAAUAACCCUAGUCCUCCUGAAGACCCGUACACAGCUCUUGAUCUUCAGACCAAGUCCUCCAAUGAUGUGUACGACACGCUUGCAACAGUUCACCCGAGUCCUCCUGAAGACCCGUACACAGCUCUGGAUUCUCAGUCCAUCUCUCCUCAUUACGACACUUUAACAAAUGCAAGAAAGCAACAGUGAGAUUGUCAACAUCAAGACCAUGUCGUGAGAGAGAGC
ensembl:lncRNA